UGAAGAGUGCAGGGCCAAGGACCGAACCCUGGGGAACUCCACACGUUACCUUAACAUAGUCCGAGGUCACACUGUUAUAGGAGACGCACUGCAUCCUAUCAGUAAGAUAAGAGUUAAACCAUGACAGGGCUGAGUCUGACAUACCAAUUCGUAUUUUGAUACGCUCUAAUAAAAUAUUAUGGACGUCUCCAUAAUAUAUAUGGAGACGUCAAAGAAGAAAGAUGUAGGUGGGAAGCGGUGUAUUGCGGCUGCCUUUAGCAAGACAAACACAGCCGGUGUUUCCUUGUUUACUUUCCCGAAAGAUGACGGUAAAGCUUUACUAUGGAACAGAGCGGUCAAGCGAACACGGUUCCCUAACACAUGUCAAACGGCAGGUUUCGGUGAGAAAAUUGUGGUAAUAAGUUGGCUCUUACUGUAGACAUGAGCGGAGAGCAUGCGUCGUUCCUCCUGCACCUGUCAAAGAGGCAGCUGCGGACUCUCUUGCCUCCUCCGACCGGCCGCCCCCGAACGUGGGAUGCUUCCACCGUGGAGGAGGGGGAAAAAAAGCUCAGCCUGGCCCUAACGGCUGCCUUCGCUUCGCCUUGUCGGGAAACGUGGCUUCCCUCAGAGACACUGGCGGUCACCACACCCGUGGCCACACCCCUCCAACUUUCAGGUACCAUAUAAUCUCACUAAAACACUAGUAACGCUCUCAACUGCUCAGCGGAAUCUCAGAGAGCUGAAAGAUUUUGAUAAUUUACACACAAUUUUUCUAACAGUAACACAAUAAGCAGAUAAGGGAUUUUCCAGAAUUAUCCUAGUAAAUGUGUCUAAUAACAUCUGAACCGCUCCCACUGCCGUCGCCUUUUUUUUCUUUUUUUUCCUAGUCCUUCACUCUAACUUUCCUCAUCCACAAAUCUUUCAUCCUCGCUCAAAUUAAUGGGGAAAUCGUCGCUUUCUCGGUCUGAAUCACUCUAGCUGCUGGUGGCCAUGAUUGUAAACAAUGUUCAGAUGUGAGGAGCUCCACAACCCGUGACGUCACGCGCACAUCGUCUGCUACUUCCGGUACAGGCAAGGCUUUUUUAUUAGCGACCAAUAGUUGCAAACUUUAUCGUGGAUGUUCUCUACUAAAUCCUUUCAGCAAAAAUAUGGCAAUAUGGCGCAAUGAUGAAGUAUGACACAUAGAAUGGACCUGCUAUCCCCCUUUAAAUAAGAACAUCUCAUUUCAGUAGGCCUUUAAGAGCAGGGACCAUCAUGAAAGAUAAGGAUGGUACAUUUCUACAUGAUAAGAUCUGCUACUGUCCUGGGUUCAAAUCCAGGCUCGGGAUCUUUCUGUGUGGAGUUUGCAUGUUCUCCCCGUGAAUGCGUGGGUUCCCUCCGGGUACUCCGGCUUCCUCCCACUUCCAAAGACAUGCACCUGGGGAUAGGUUGAUUGGCAACACUAAAUGGUCCCUAGUGUGUGAAUGUGAGUGUGAAUGUUGUCUGUCUGUCUGUGUUGGCCCUGCAAUGAGGUGGCGACUUGUCCAGGGUGUAGCCCGCCUUCCGCCCGAUUGUAGCUGAGAUAGGCGCCGGCGCCCCCCGCGACCCCGAAAGGGAAUAAGCGGUAGAAAAUGGAUGGAUGGAAGAUCUGCUGCUAUGAAUAUUACUGAGUUACCUGUUACAUCUCAGGACAACAGGUGUGUACUUGUGGUUUAAAGACUACUUUACACGCUAUGUCAACCUUUUCCAGCGUGUCUUUACAGUAGCAAAAUGUAUGUUUGAGGACUAUAUCAGACAACAUGGGUUGCCAGAGUGUAGUCACACAGACCAGGUAGGCAAUUGGAGUCAGACCUUGUAAAACACUUUGGAAAACCUUGCUGGAAUAGUUACCUCUACUGCCCCCCAGUGGCCGUUAGAAAGGAUGCACACAUUUUGUGUUGAAGUCCUUAAAGCUGUCUUUCACUUUUUGUCUUGUCCUUUGUGUCCCAGAUGAAGUCGUGAGUGGCUCGGGGGAGGAUAGGCGGGACAUUAGCUCGGAAACAUUCUUCUUUUCUUUUUCACAAGAACUUUGCUGACAAAGUGCAAGUGUUUGUGGGCGUUACUGUACAUGUUGGUAUUGAUCACACCACCCAGUAAAUUCAAGGAACGUUUUCAAAAUCAUUAAAUGAUUUUAGACUUUCAUUUUGUGAACAAUAUACACAUAUAUUAAUAUAAACAUAUGGAGGAGUCAGAUAGGGGUGGUUAGGGCAUCUGGUCAGGAUGCCACCUGAACGCAUAGGGAGGUGUUUAGGACACGUCUGACCGGUAGGAGGCCACCAGGAAGACCCAAGACACCUUGGGAACGCCUCGGGAUCCAGGAGCUGGACGAAGUGGCUGGGGAGAGCGAAGUGUGGGUUUCCCUGCUUAGGCUGCUGCCCCCGCGACCCGACCUCAGAUAAGCGGAAGAAGACGGAUGGAUGGAUGAAUAAACAUAUAUGAAUACAACAAUAGUCGUGUGGAGAGAGAGUUUGGCCAACCCGGGUUUGGAGUCAGUGUCUAACAAGGCGCCCUCUAGUCACCUGAGGGGAUUUGACCAACUAUUACAUCUCAUGCUCUUCGUAUGUACCUAUCUUUAAUGUUUAUAGUACACAAUGAAUCAUAUUUAGCUGUGAAAUGUGUGUUUUUUAUGAUGUUAGACGAUCUCUGAUUACAUCACUUGUCCAUGCCAGCUAACUUUCAUUUGUUGUCAUCUGCCUCCAUCUAGUGGACGUUUGUUGUACUGUUACUUAUAGAAUUUACCGGUAAAUAGUAGACAUCUCAUCUGUCACUGGUAUUUAGUCAUUAUAACAAUACAUACAGUGGUGUGUGACAAAGUUAAACUUAGAUUUAAGUCACAUGGAAUACUUAAUAAUCUGUGGUCUGUGAUAUGACAUUAUUAAGUUCAUUUAAUUCAUGCAUUUACAAUGUUUGUGUCCUACAGUUUCACCCUUUCAAUUGUCAAUCAACCUGGCCUCCAUCAGUCAACCUGGUGUUCAGAGGGAAUUAAAAAAAGGGAAUAAGCGGUAGGAAAUGGAUGGACAAGGUGUAUCGCCACAAUUUUAACCACUUUUGUCAUUGCAAUGAAUGACGCACGGGGGCGCCACUAACUCCCAUCGCAUCAUUUAUUUUUUAAAUGAUGAUAUUUUUUAAACCAAAUACUUACUGAAACCUAACAAAAAAUAUAUUUUACCUUUUCAGAAAUAAAUGAAUUAUUAUAAAAUAGUAAAAAAAAAAAUCGUUUUGUUUUCCAUUUAAGGCUGCUAGAUACAUCUUUAAGGUGUGCGAUUUCAUAAAGAACAACGUAUUUUUUAAUGUUUGUUUUGUAUGUAAUGGUUUAUGAUGACAUUGUUAUUGAAGUACAGAUGACACCAAAGAACGCGACCACCAAAAGGGGAAUAAGCGGUAGAAAAUGGAUCGAUGGAAGGACUAAAGAAGCAUGGGUCGCAAGGGGUGCUGGAGCCUAUCUCAGCUACAUUCGGGCGAAAGGCGGGGUAUAAACUGGACAAGUCGCCACCUCAUCACAGAGCCAACACAGAUAGACAGACAACAUUCACACACUAGGGCCCAUUUAGUGUUGCCAAUCAACCUAUCCCCAGGUGCAUGUCUUUGGAGGUGGGAGGAAGCCAGAGUACCCGGAGGGAACCCACGCAGUCACGGGGAGAACAUGCAAACUCCACACAGAAAGAUCCGAACCCAGGACCUUGGCAUUAUGAGGCACACAUACCAGUGUUUCCAUAUAUAGGAUUGGUACCUAACAGAACUACACCUAGAAUUGGUUGUCUGUAUAAUAAAAGCAUUCUCAGGCCCCUGCAGUCUACAUAUAAACUUAAACAUCAGUUUUCUCAGGGUGGCGUGGAAGGUGUUUAUCCCUAAAUGACAAAAAAGCUUGCUGGCACUACUACCCCUGGCCUUUCUGAGCAGGAUUCUGAGACACUCAUUAUAUGCAAGCUGGAGUUUGUGCAAGUUCUUUUUCUUGAACCUCACCCAGAGGGGUGCUGUGUACAUAGGGGUGCAGUAAGCUCUAAACAAGUACACCUUCGCCUUAUCAGAGCAGUAAUGACAUUUUCUCACCAGCAUAUUGGCUUUCUUCUCGGUCUAAGCAUGUCAGCAUCAUCCUCCAUCUUGUCAUUGAUGAUGCGGCCUAAGUAUUUGACAUUGUUGCACACAGACAGGGUUUGACCAGACAAAUAGAAACCUGGGAAAUGAGGAUGUUGAUCCUCCUUGGUCCUACAUAUCAUUACCAUACUCUUUGUGGCUGACUCCAAAGUGUGAGCAUAUGUUAAGAAGCUGCUGGAACCCUGCACUACUGGGAGAUAUAAUGGCCAAAUCAUCAGCGUACAUCAAGUGGUUGAUGAAGGUGUUCCCAUCAUGCAUCCUGUUCUGCAUUCUCCCACUGCCUUGACAGGUCAUCCAUAGACAGGCUAAAUAGGCCUGGUGAUAGAAGCCCACCCUGCCGUACCCCAUUGCCAACUCUAAAGAGAGAGGAUAAACUACUCCCCCAUUUGACCUGCAUGGUCUGCCUGUGGUAGCAAUAUGCCAGAAUAUACCCACAACACCCCUGUGCUUCAGAUUGCUGAAGAGUUGGAGAUGGUUGACUCUGUCAAAUGCCUUAGAUGCGUCAAUAAACCCCACCGACAUUGUAGAA